rnacentral:lncRNA from 1 species
AUCAGAAAUCCGGAUUACCCUUGACCAAAGUGACCACUCAACAAGCACCCGUCUCAAGGGCACAAUGGCUUUAGUACUUGACCCAAUCAUGGACGACUUUCAUCCGACCUGGGUCCUCAUGGAUUAUGGUAGUAGUCACAACAUUAUUUACACACACACAAUCAAGAAAAUACACAUGAGGCUAGCGAGAAGUAAACCCAGUAACACCAUGUCAUGACCUGGCCUCUGGUAGGGCCACGGAUCGCUGCACUUAAUAUGUCAGUCCGAGAAUCAAUACCUGACAUGCACAGUCGAUGAUGAAAUACCAAGGAUACAUCACAUGUCAUAGUAUUUGCAUCGAAGAUCGAGUGCACUAAAUACACACAUGCUUAGAUCAUGGCUAGCUUACAUUACUAUCAUGAAGCGAAAUAAUAUUCUUGUCUUGUGGCUUCCACCGGCUCACAUUCAAGAGUUGAGUAUAGCGUCAUAACCCUACUUCGUAACUUCCCUUUGACUUGGUAACCUGCAACCCGAUACAUUACAACCACAAGGCUCAAUACACU